GGACCCGUGGUGUAGCGGUUAACAUGCCUGCCUGUCACGCAGGAGAUCGCCGGUUCGAUUCCGGUCGGGUCCGCCA
rnacentral:tRNA from 2 species